rnacentral:rRNA from 1 species
UACAGAGGGUGCAAGCGUUAAUCGGAAUUACUGGGCGUAAAGCGUGCGUAGGUGGCUUGACAAGUCGGGUGUGAAAUCCCCGGGCUUAACCCGGGAACUGCAUUCGAUACUAUCGAGCUUGGAGUCUGGUAGAGGGUAGUGGAAUUCCGGGUGUAGCAGUGAAAUGCGUAGAUAUCCGGAGGAACACCAGUGGCGAAGGCGGCUACCUGGACCAAGACUGACGCUGAGGCACGAAAGCGUGGGGAGCAAACAGG